AUUGAACGCUGGCGGCAGGCCUAACACAUGCAAGUCGAACGAGUGGCGGACGGGUGAGUAAUGUCUGGGAAACUGCCUGAUGGAGGGGGAUAACUACUGGAAACGGUAGCUAAUACCGCAUACCAUAAGAUGUGCCCAUAUGGGAUUAGCUAGUGGGUGGGGUAACGGCUCACCAAGGCGACGAUCCCUAGCUGGUCUGAGAGGAUGACCAGCCACAAUGGAACUGAGACACGGUCCAGACUCCUACGGAAGGCAGCAGUGGGGAAUAUUGGACAAGGGGCGAAAGCCUGAUCCAGCCAUGCCGCGUGUGUGAAGAAGGUCUUCGGAUUGUAAAGCACUUUAAGUUGGGAGGCGUUACCAACAGAAUAAGCACCGGCAAACUUCGUGCCAGCAGCCGCGGUAAUUC
rnacentral:rRNA from 1 species